rnacentral:misc_RNA from 1 species
CACGAUAUGGAUCGUCCUUGAUGAGUCGAGGUCGCUGGUGAAACGAGAUCGUCGAUCCCCCAGGGUGAUUGUUGUGUGUUUGACAUCAAUCAUAACCAUUUCUCCGAAGGGUUCCGCGUUAAAAAACUUCCAACGAGUUCCAACGAUUCCUUUAGUCGGCCAUAAUAAGAAUCUUGACGAGGCAAGGUAAAUACUCGUAAACUAAACGUUUAUCAUUUGAAGGUAUUAUCUUUUGAAUGUCGCAUCUAGUAAUUUCUGUCGUUUGUAAGUACAUGUC